GAGGGCCAUCACCUGCCGCGCUUGCCGUAUAGAAAAAUAAGCCUCAGACAGAUCUUCACAAGAGCGUCGUGAUUUCUUUCAUAGGCGUAAUUACAUUCCAAGCUAAAUUGCAGUUCGAGGGAAGGUGAUGAAGCCUUUCUCGGUAAUGCCUGUGCUCGGGCUGCUACUCUCCCAGGGGGCUCAGGUGACCGAAGCCGGCCUCCCUGCUGGUAAAAUCGCCAGUUCCUCAGCUCCCCGGCUGCCUGCGCCCAGGAGAAGCAAGGCGCCCACAUCUCCUUCGUGUCUUUGCAGGGCGGGAAUGACCACGAGAUCUUCACCGACCCGAGGACCGUGGGCUACACGGUGACGGCCCCCGAGGACACCCGCAGGAUCUAUUCUGGAAGAUCGGCAGAUCUGAAGGCCACUGCUUCGGGCACUGGUGUUCCCGGGGUUUCUGCAGCGCCAGAGUUUUGUGCUUCCCGGCUGGCACAGAUCCUCGCCUUCCUGCCCACUGGAACCCCGGGGCUCCCCCAGCCAGGUGUGGCAGCCUCACCCACGCCGGCUCUGCUGCUGACCAGCGGCGUGACUCAGGACGGGUUCAUCGCAGCCUGCUUGCUCCUCUGUCGGGUGGGGUAAGGCCCCUACCACACAGGAGACCUAAACGAGCUCCCUCCAGCCAGGCUACUGUCGACUUCACGAACCCCCAGGAAGCCUGUAGGACGGGCCCUGCCAGCCCUGCUCUCCCGGCACGGCUCAGUCAGCCCCCAGCUUUCCGGAACUGACAGCACGACGCCAGCACGGGAAACCUCAACACUGUAGCUAACUGUUGAGCAAGGGGGAAGCAGAGGUUGGCCCUGGAGCCAGCGGCCCCGUGGAGGGCACGGCGGGGGCUCCUGAGGGAGAAGCCCCCAGGAAGGCCCUCCUGUGCUUCAGUGAGGUGCUGCACUCCAACCGGAGGGAGGAGACGGGACAGGAUCGACGGGACACUUGGCAAGAUCUCUCAGCCAGUGGGCAGGGGCAGCGCCCCGAUCGGGAAAAUUUGGCAGAUUUGUCGAGGUGGAAGCGGCCUUGAAUCACUUCCUCUCCAAGGGCUGCUUCCUCUUCCCCCACUGCUCCUUGACCUUGACCCCAUCAGGCCACUUGGGCUCCGUCCCACGGCCACCCCACCCUUCUCUCGGAGCUGCAUUCCCGCACCACCUGCAGUUCUCCCACCUGCACAGUACUUGCUGAGUGCAGCACUUGGACAGAUCUCCUUGUUUGGGACAAAACGCCUACUUUGGCUUCUCCCUAAACAGGUCCCUCGGCCUGGUUGUAAUUGUUCCGAGUACACUUUGAAAAUCAGUACUGCAGUAAAAAUACUCAUCUCUGCACCAUCAAAAAUGAUCUACCCUCCCUCGGGAGACCCUGGCUGGGCAAGACCUUCCCAACCUGACCCGUAAAUCCGACCCAGAGCAUCCCUGCCUGUCAGCCCAGCCUCCCUGCUGUGCCCCUGGACACCCAGUCCCUGGGCCUUCACACCUCCCACCACCAAACUUCCCUCGGUCGGGCCUGCCCCUGCUCUCGCCGCUCACGCUCACACAGUAAAAGUUCAAGUGCAUCCAUGCGGCAAGCGGCAUUUUGUUGUCCCGAAGCCUGACUCUACUGCUAAGCUGCCCAACGCCGGAGAAGGAUUAAGGGAAAAGGGAUGAUCCCAUUCUCUUAUUCACCACCCCAAAAAACCAGCCUGUGAAGCAGAAUGACACGGAGCAUGACUGUGUCCACCCCGUUCGGGGGAGACGCCCGUACCUGCUGGCUCACAGGAGAGGCACCCGGCCUCCACCUUCAAAAACAACACAGAACCUUGCACAAAACACACUUUAUUGAGAGAGAGGCGGUUGGUGGGAGGAAAGAUGUGGAUGGAAUCCCGGAUGCUAUUCCCAGCUGUGUCACCAACAUCAAACGUCCUCCCAAAAGGAGCUCUGGAAGCGUGGCCUGUAGCUGACAAAGGCCUCCAAGGACCCAGCAGGAGGCAGGGGGCGCAGGAACCCUUUGCACGGCCCCACGGGCCAGGAAAAAAACAGACCAAAUGCUCGCUUCACUGCGCUGUCUGCCGGCGUGCACGCACGCGCGCGCGC